UAGAGAUAAGAGGGUGCUAGCUUGCUAGAACUUAGAGACAGGUGCUGCACGGCUGUCGUCAGCUCGUGUCGUGAGAUGUUGGGUUAAGUCCCGCAACGAGCGCAACCCACGUAUUUAGUUGCUAACGGUUCGGCCGAGCACUCUAAAUAGACUGCCUUCGUAAGGAGGAGGAAGGUGUGGACGACGUCAAGUCAUCAUGGCCCUUAUGCCCAGGGCGACACACGUGCUACAAUGGCAUAUACAAUGAGACGCAAUACCGCGAGGUGGAGCAAAUCUAUAAAAUAUGUCCCAGUUCGGAUUGUUCUCUGCAACUCGAGAGCAUGAAGCCGGAAUCGCUAGUAAUCGUAGAUCAGCCAUGCUACGGUGAAUACGUUCCCGGGUCUUGUACUCACCGCCCGUCACACCAUGGGAGUUGAUUUCACUCGAAGCCGGAAUACUAAACUAGUUACCGUCCACAGUGGAAUCAGCGACUGGGGUGAAGUCGUAACAAGGUAACCGUAGGAGAACCUGCGGUUGGAUCACCUCCUUUCUAG
rnacentral:rRNA from 2 species